ensembl:lncRNA
UUUAAAGCCAAUGUAUUUUUGCUCCUUGUUGAAUAGAGUAGACUGUAUCCCAACUGAAUAGUCAGAUAAGCGCCCGGACCGCAGCAUCACUGAAGAGCCACCUCUAGAAAUUUGAGUCCCUUUCGUCAGUUCAGUGAGUGUCCCGUGAUAUAUCUUUUCCAGACAGCAGAUCGUAGUUUUCCCUGUGUGUGCUUCCUGAUGGCAUCUUGGGUUGUGUUAUCUUGGCACAGGCCCCCUCUGUUUGCAUUGUAAGGAUGUAGGGAAAUGCUGUACUCGCCCUGAAAUCAGGAUUGCACGGCUUGUGCUCUUACCUGUUACAAAGUCACGAGGCUAAGAUUUAUUGCGGACGUACUGUGUGCCAGGCACUCUGCCAGGUCCUUUAUAUGGACGGUGGUCUCAUUCAGGACAGAAACCUGAUCAGGUAGGUUACUCUAAUUCCCCCCUUUAACAGAUGAGAAAGCAAACUGCUACUUAGAGAGGUCGCUGCUGAGGAUGUCUGUGUAAUAUGAACCCUAGGAUGACUCAAGGGACAGAUUUCCCUUGAAUCUCAUUGCUGCCAACACUGCUGCUGGCCUUGAGAAAAUGGUUCCUGUUGACCCACUGGGGACUGUAGUUUACACAAGCGAUCCUGGGGCACUCUUUGCUUUGGCUGCUAGAAAAUUGCGGUCAAGUUAGUGGCCCAACUUGUCUAGAAAAAAAUGUAGCUAAAAUGAUUCCAAUAGAGGUUAAAGGCUUUAUCAGCUGAUGUGGAUCACCUCUGAGCUGAAACAGAACUGCACUUUUUCUGGGAAAGAAGAGAGAGGGGUGUGACCGCCGGAUUUCCCAGGUCGCAGUUUCUUUAGCUUCUACAAAUGUUAGGUUGGAAGAGUUGGGAAUUUGUUCCGCUUUUUCCUCUCUUGCUCGGAUGCUUAGUGCAAGCUCAUUCCAGCAGCUGUCAGAACAGUUUUUGGAGAGCUGUUUUCGUUUCUCUUGUCUGUCAAGUUUUGGGAGUGGGGAGAGGUAACAAAAGAGUUGGGGGAAGUAAAAGAAGAGGAAAAGAGGUAAAGGAAGCACUGGGUUGAAGCAAGGACAACUGGGGUCUAUUGUCAUUAUUUUCCAGUCCCUCCUCUUAGACAAGAUGGGCUGUUUUCAUCACCAGCCGAAUCCUUUCAGACAAAAAACAAAAUUACAGAGCUGUGUAAGGUUCAGGAAUUGAGUAGAGAAGGCCUCCACAGUGGGUUGGAGGAGCGGUUUGUUCUUUCCCCUCCUGUUCCUCAGUCGGAGCUUGGAUCCUCUGUUUGAACAGGACAGGGACGCUGGCUCUGAUGAGACGUGUGCUAUAGCCUGAAUGUCUGUGUCUCCCCGGAAAUCCAGAUGUUGAAAUCCUGAUCCCCAGUGUGAUGGUCUCAGGAGGUGGGGCCUUCAGAAGGUGAUGAGGGCGGGCAGGUGGAGCCCUCAGGACUAGGAUUAGUGCCCUUAUCAAAGAGACCCCAGAGAGCUCUCUCAUCCCUUCAUCACCUGAGGACACAGCAAGAAGCCGACCUCCUGUGAACCAGGCAGCGGCCCUCCACACACGCCCAAUCUGCUGGCACUUUGAUCUUGGACUUCCCAGCCUCCGGAACUGUGAGAAAUGCACGCUUGUUGUUUAAGCCGCUCAGUCUGCGGUUCCUGCCACAGCAGCCCGGACAGACGAAGGCGACGUGAUUGGACGCACUUUGGUUAAAGAUCUUUGUGUCUGUUUUCGUUUUCUAUACUCAGGGGGAGUGACUUCUACAAUGAGAGAACACAUUUUACCAGAUAUAAAACCCAGGUCCAUAAACCCAGGACAACCUAGGGAGAGACCAUGACAAGACGAUUCGGAGAAGCACAAAUACAAGAUGCUAAGGAACCUAAGCAGCUCCGCAGGAGAAAGGCCAACUGGAAAAGCAAAAGGGCCUUGUCCCCCGGAAGGCAAUUUUCCGAAAGGAGCGCGCAGAAGGGAGCAGCCGGCCCGGGAGCGGCCCAGCCCGCGCAGACGCAGAAGGAGGCCGCCCUCUCCGCGGAGAAGGCUCUGCGCAGUUUUUUCAAGCACGAAUGGCGGGGCAGGAGGGCGGCUGGGCGGCUUCACGGCGCAACACUGCCACCUGCAGACCAGAGAAACCCAACGCCACCAACCCCAGCGAAAACUCCAUCUUUUCCGCGGUCGUUACCCGCAAAGACCUGGAG